GACGGAGGGGGCAAGCGUUGUCCGGACUUACUGGGCGUAAAGGGCCCGUAGGCGGCCUGAUGCGUCGGUGCUGAAAGCGCCCCGCUUAACGGGGUGAGGCGUGCCGAUACGAUCAGGCUCGAGGCAGGCAGAGGGUGGCGGAAUUCCGGGUGUAGUGGUGAAAUGCGUAGAGAUCCGGAGGAACGCCUGUGGCGCAAGCGGCCACCUGGGCCUGACCUGACGCUGAGGGGCGAAAGCGUGGGGGAGCAAACCGG
rnacentral:rRNA from 1 species